UUUUUAUUUGUUUAGAAAUUUCAGUUUUAAUGGAAUCGUCAUUUCAUUACAGUCAUCCAGUUGGGGUGUCUGAUUCAAACGCCGGGGCAAAGCUUCUAGACAUCAUUCUCAUGAAGGUAAUAGGUGAGGCUGAUUUUCAGCGUAAUAGGGAUUUGGAGAAGUUUUCGUGUAGAAGAAGACCCGGGCAUGUUCAAUCCCGUAACUUCUCAUCUUUCUUUGUUGAAUGGUUGUAAUAUCAGUUCAAGAUACCCUAAUUCAUAAUUCUUUAUAUAUAGUGCUUUAAAUUAUAUUU